UACAGAGGGGGCAAGCGUUGUUCGGAAUUACUGGGCGUAAAGGGCGCGUAGGCGGCCCGCUAAGUCGAACGUGAAAUCCCCGAGCUCAACUCGGGAACUGCGUCCGAUACUGGUGGGCUUGAAUCCGGGAGAGGGAUGCGGAAUUCCAGGUGUAGCGGUGAAAUGCGUAGAUAUCUGGAGGAACACCGGUGGCGAAGGCGGCAUCCUGGCCCCAUUCUUGACGCUGAGGCGCGAAAGCUAGGGGAGCGAACGGG
rnacentral:rRNA from 1 species